CCUACGGGAGGCAGCAGUGAGGAAUAUUGGUCAAUGGACGAGAGUCUGAACCAGCCAAGUAGCGUGAAGGAUGACUGCCCUAUGGGUUGUAAACUUCUUUUAUAUGGGAAUAAAAUGUUCCACGUGUGGGAUUUUGUAUGUACCAUAUGAAUAAGGAUCGGCUAACUCCGUGCCAGCAGCCGCGGUACUACGGAGGAUCCGAGCGUUAUCCGGAUUUAUUGGGUUUAAAGGGAGCGUAGGUGGAUUGUUAAGUCAGUUGUGAAAGUUUGCGGCUCAACCGUAAAAUUGCAGUUGAAACUGGCAGUCUUGAGUACAGUAGAGGUGGGCGGAAUUCGUGGUGUAGCGGUGAAAUGCUUAGAUAUCACGAAGAACUCCGAUUGCGAAGGCAGUUCACUGGACCGCAACUGACACUGAGGCUCGAAAGUGUGGGUAUCAAACAGGAUUAGAUACCCGAGUAGUC
rnacentral:rRNA from 1 species